GCGGAUGUAGCUCAAUGGCAGAGCUGAAGCCUUCCAAGCUUAAGACGUAGGGUUCGAUUCCCUCUAUCCGCU
rnacentral:tRNA from 1 species